UUUAACACAUGGGCCUUUGCAGG
rnacentral:piRNA from 1 species